rnacentral:rRNA from 1 species
UACGGAGGGAGCUAGCGUUGUUCGGAAUUACUGGGCGUAAAGGGCUCGUAGGCGGCCAACUAAGUCAGACGUGAAAUCCCUCAGCUUAACUGGGGAACUGCGUCUGAUACUGGAUGGCUUGGAUUCGGGAGAGGAAUGCGGAAUUCCAGGUGUAGCGGUGAAAUGCGUAGAUAUCAGGAGGAACACCGAUGGCGAAGGCAGGUCUCUGGGCUGACACUGACGCUCAUGCACGAAAGCGUGGGGAGCAAACAGG